rnacentral:rRNA from 1 species
AGAAAAAAAAGGAACUACUAUCUACUGCCUGACGAAGAGGACCCGAAAAGACCUGUCAAAAACUCUAUUGGAAAAGUGAUGUUUCUCACAGCGGUAGAAAGACCACGGUUUGACGAAGAUGGGAACAUGACAUUCUCCGGAAAAAUUGGGGUAUGGCCAUUCGUGAGAGUGGCUGUAGCAGCAAAAAGAAGCAAGAACAGGGAAAAAGGGACAUUCGAAAUAAAGCCUGUCAUAGUGACGAGGGAUGUGAUGAGAGAGUACAUUAUACAGAAGGUUGUGCCAGCAAUUCAAGCAUUGUGGCCUGCAGAUGAUGAUGGACAACCCAUUUUUAUCCAGCAAGAUAACACAAGAACACACAUCCUACCUAAUGAUCAAGCAUUCGCAGAAGUUGUCGACGAAAGUGGCUUGGACAUUAGAAUAAUGUAUCAGCCUCUAAAUUCUCUAGACAUGAACGCCCUGGACCUUGGGUUCUUCAUCUCUAUUCAAUCGCUAACAGACUGCAAAAGUCCAAAAACUAUUCCAGAGCUAAUUAAAGGUGUUCAAGAGGAGUUCAAUGGAUAUGAAGUUUCAAAACUUAACAGAGUAUUCACAACUCUGCAGACUUGCACGGUCGAAGUAAUGAAGAAUGGUGGAGCCAAUAAAUACAAAAUCCCGCACAUGAACACGGAUAGGCUAGAAAGGCUACAACUGCUACCGCCUAAGGUCUCAGCUCCUCCUGAAGUGUAUGCAAUGGCACUAGAGAUGCUUGGACGCUGA